CAUGGACCUUAGGAGAGCUAAACUGCUCAGCUACCUCUAUUUGUUCACUUACAAGAGAUUACAGUUCCUUGCCUUGUGGAUUUUAGCCAGUCAUCCUAGAGUCGAGCCUCUAUAUAUCCUUUCUAAAAGCCUGAAAGUAUGGAAGAAAUUCUGUUCAGCAAGGAUUCAGGAGAUAUUGAGGAGUGUUUGGAAACUGAAAGGAG
rnacentral:lncRNA from 1 species